AUGUAAUAAAAUAGCACAGGAGGUUUCCACCAGAUUUACCCAUAUCAGUUGGUACAGACCAAUGAAGCUUCAACGUUCCCUUCCCAAAUGGUGUCAGCUUUAACCCAGUAGGUUUAGAACACUGAACUGAAAGAAGCGCACCCAAGAUGGUAAUUGAUGCUUGUAUUCACACAAUUGUAAUAAAUAUUCUUGCAGAAGUACACAGAAAAUUUAUUGGGUAAUUUACUAGCUUUAGUUGGUGAGAACUUCCAUAAAAUUGUUAUUGACUUUGUUCCAACUGGUUUACAACUUGGGUCCAUAACACCACCUAGAAAAGAAAAACAAUAGUGUAAAUUUUCUGUGCUCCGUUCAAUUACUUUUAUAGAAUAUUUUACCCCUUGGUUCCUAAGGAUGGCACUUUGAAGUGGUGUAAGCACAAAAAGAAAAAAAUCCAAUAAAUUGUAAAGUUGACUGCUCAUAUGCAAA